rnacentral:rRNA from 1 species
UACAGAGGUCUCAAGCGUUGUUCGGAUUCAUUGGGCGUAAAGGGUGCGUAGGUGGUGAUGCAAGUCUGGUGUGAAAUCUCGGAGCUCAACUCCGAAAUUGCACCGGAUACUGCGUGACUCGAGGACUGUAGAGGAGAUCGGAAUUCACGGUGUAGCAGUGAAAUGCGUAGAUAUCGUAAGGAAGACCAGUGGCGAAGGCGGGUCUCUGGACAGUUCCUGACGCUGAGGCACGAAGGUCAGGGGAGCAAACGGG